rnacentral:rRNA from 1 species
GACGAACGCUGGCGGCGUGCCUAAUACAUGCAAGUAGAACGCUGAAGGAGGAGCUUGCUUCUCUGGAUGAGUUGCGAACGGGUGAGUAACACGUAGGUAACCUGCCUGGUAGCGGGGGAUAACUAUUGGAAACGAUAGCUAAUACCGCAUAAGAGUAGAUGUUGCAUGACAUUUGCUUAAAAGGUGCAAUUGCAUCACUACCAGAUGGACCUGCGUUGUAUUAGCUAGUUGGUGGGGUAACGGCUCACCAAGGCGACGAUACAUAGCCGACCUGAGAGGGUGAUCGGCCACACUGGGACUGAGACACGGCCCAGACUCCUACGGGAGGCAGCAGUAGGGAAUCUUCGGCAAUGGACGGAAGUCUGACCGAGCAACGCCGCGUGAGUGAAGAAGGUUUUCGGAUCGUAAAGCUCUGUUGUAAGAGAAGAACGAGUGUGAGAGUGGAAAGUUCACACUGUGACGGUAGCUUACCAGAAAGGGACGGCUAACUACGUG